rnacentral:rRNA from 1 species
AGUGAACGCUGGCGGUAGGCCUAACACAUGCAAGUCGAACGGCAGCACAGUAAGAGCUUGCUCUUACGGGUGGCGAGUGGCGGACGGGUGAGGAAUACAUCGGAAUCUACUUUUUCGUGGGGGAUAACGUAGGGAAACUUACGCUAAUACCGCAUACGGCCUACGGGUGAAAGCAGGGGAUCUUCGGACCUUGCGCGAUUGAAUGAGCCGAUGUCGGAUUAGCUAGUUGGCGGGGUAAAGGCCCACCAAGGCGACGAUCCGUAGCUGGUCUGAGAGGAUGAUCAGCCACACUGGAACUGAGACACGGUCCAGACUCCUACGGGAGGCAGCAGUGGGGAAUAUUGGACAAUGGGCGCAAGCCUGAUCCAGCCAUACCGCGUGGGUGAAGAGGGCCUUCGGGUUGUAAAGCCCUUUUGUUGGGAAAGAAAAGCAGCAGGUUAAUACCCCGCUGUUCUGACGGUACCCAAAGAAUAAGCACCGGCUAACUUCGUG